GAUGAACGCUGGCGGCGUGCCUAAUACACGCAAGUCGAGCGAACAGACGAGGAGCUUGCUCCUCUGACGUUAGCGGCGGACGGGUGAGUAACACGUGGAUAACCUACCUAUAAGACUGGGAUAACUUCGGGAAACCGGAGCUAAUACCGGAUAAUAUAUUGAACCGCAUGGUUCAAUAGUGAAAGACGGUUUUGCUGUCACUUAUAGAUGGAUCCGCGCCGCAUUAGCUAGUUGGUAAGGUAACGGCUUACCAAGGCAACGAUGCGUAGCCGACCUGAGAGGGUGAUCGGCCACACUGGGACUGAGACACGGUCCAGACUCCUACGGGAGGCAGCAGUAGGGAAUCUUCCGCAAUGGGCGAAAGCCUGACGGAGCAACGCCGCGUGAGUGAUGAAGGUCUUCGGAUCGUAAAACUCUGUUAUUAGGGAAGAACAAAUGUGUAAGUAACUAUGCACGUCUUGACGGUACCUAAUCAGAAAGCCACGGCUAACUACGUG
rnacentral:rRNA from 1 species